UACGAAGGGGGCUAGCGUUGUUCGGAAUUACUGGGCGUAAAGCGCGCGUAGGCGGCGACCUUUGUCAGAGGUGAAAUCCCGAGGCUCAACUUCGGAAUUGCCUUUGAAACGGGGUUGCUUGAGUCCGAGAGAGGAUGGCGGAAUUCCUAGUGUAGAGGUGAAAUUCGUAGAUAUUCGGCGGAACACCAGUGGCGAAGGCGACUCACUGGCCCGAUACUGACGCUGAGGCGCGAAAGCGUGGGGAGCAAACAGG
rnacentral:rRNA from 1 species